UGCAUAUGUAUGUUCUAUUCCACAGAUCACCAGUGUCAGCAAGCACAUUAAUUAUGUAAAGAAAAUGGCCUUCCAACUUGAUUUCACAACAGAAGGCUUCAGUAAUAUAAUUUUGAAAAAUGAAAAAGAUGAAAUACAAGUGAAAACUAAUGCAUUUAAUGAUGAGGACGCAUGGAGGUGGAAAGAAAUUUUUACUAUGAAGAAUAGUGUUUGCUUCAAUGUAUCAAGAUAUUUCACAGGUGUAAGAUACACAUUUCACCAGAAAUUCAUCUGCAUGCAUGGCGACAGACGCCAUAAAGGAGCUAUAAAAACAAACACAGGAUGCAGUGUAACAAUGGACAUGAAAAUCAAGCUCAUCACAAGAGACACCUACAAGAGAGAUAAGGAUGUCAGGACCCAUCCAUGUAUGAUCAUCAUAAAGGGUGUCCACAAUCAUCCUACAGACUCUGCAUCUGCUCUGCAACAACUGAGAGUUUUACCAGACACCAAGAAUGCUUACUUCAAGUACUUCAAUAUUGGCAUGUCUGUAGCGCAGGCUGCAAGAUGUUACCAAGAUCAAAUAAAUGUCAGUGCAAGUCUCGCUACUAAGGCCAAUUCUGCCAUAAAUCCCUCCCAUAGAGUCAUCUAUCACAUACGGAACCUGUGGCUCAAAGCAAACCAUGGCACUUUAGGAGGAGGAGAUAUGUUUGCUUCCAUUGAGAACUACGCUGCUAC